rnacentral:rRNA from 1 species
AACGAACGCUUGCGGCAUGCCUAAUACAUGCAAGUCGAACGAGAUCUUCGGAUCUAGUGGCGCACGGGUGCGUAACGCGUGGGAAUCUGCCCUUGGGUUCGGAAUAACUUCGGGAAACUGAAGCUAAUACCGGAUGAUGACGUAAGUCCAAAGAUUUAUCGCCCAAGGAUGAGUCCGCGUAGGAUUAGCUAGUUGGUAAGGUAAAGGCUUACCAAGGCGACGAUCCUUAGCUGGUCUGAGAGGAUGAUCAGCCACACUGGGACUGAGACACGGCCCAGACUCCUACGGGAGGCAGCAGUAGGGAAUAUUGGACAAUGGGGGCAACCCUGUUCCAGCAAUGCCGCGUGAGUGAUGAAGGCCUUAGGGUUGUAAAGCUCUUUUACCCGGGAUGAUAAUGACAGUACCGGGAGAAUAAGCCCCGGCUAACUCCGUGCCAGCCGCCGCAGUAA